rnacentral:tRNA from 1 species
AAUGAUGUGCCUGAUUAAUAAAAGGAUUACUGUGAUAGAGUAAAUCAUGUAAACUUUACCUUCAUUA